UACAGAGGGUGCGAGCGUUAAUCGGAAUUACUGGGCGUAAAGCGUGCGUAGACGGUUAUUUAAGUCGGGUGUGAAAGCCCCGGGCUCAACCUGGGAAUUGCAUUCGAGACUGAAUAGCUAGGGUACGGUAGAGGGAAGUGGAAUUUCCGGUGUAGCGGUGAAAUUCGUAGAUAUUAGGAAGAACACCAGUGGCGAAGGCGGCUCACUGGUCCGGUACUGACGCUGAGGUGCGAAAGCGUGGGGAGCAAACAGG
rnacentral:rRNA from 1 species